GAGUUUGAUCCUGGCUCAGGAUGAACGCUGGCGGCGUGCUUAACACAUGCAAGUCGAACGAAGAAGUUUUAGUUUACUAGAACAACUGAGUGGCGGACGGGUGAGUAACGCGUGGGUAACCUGCCCUAUGGAGGGGGACAACAGUGGGAAACCGCUGCUAAUACCGCAUACCUUAUUAAGAUUGCAUGGUCAUAAUAAGAAAGAGUUAUCGCCAUAGGAUGGGCCCGCGUCUGAUUAGCCAGUUGGUAGGGUAACGGCCUACCAAAGCAACGAUCAGUAGCCGGCCUGAGAGGGUGAACGGCCACAUUGGGACUGAGACACGGCCCAGACUCCUACGGGAGGCAGCAGUGGGGGAUAUUGCACAAUGGGGGGAACCCUGAUGCAGCAACGCCGCGUGAGUGAAGAAGUAUUUCGGUAUGUAAAGCUCUAUCAGCAGGGAAGAUGAUGACGGUACCUGCAUAAGAAGCCCCGGCUAACUACGUGCCAGCAGCCGCGGUAAUACGUAGGGGGCAAGCGUUAUCCGGAUUUACUGGGUGUAAAGGGAGUGUAGGCGGUACGGCAAGUCUGAUGUGAAAACCCUAAGCUCAACUAAGGGAGUGCAUUGGAAACUGUCGGACUAGAGUGUGGGAGAGGCAGGCGGAAUUCCUAGUGUAGCGGUGAAAUGC
rnacentral:rRNA from 1 species